AGAUGAUCAUGAGUCUUGAAGUAGAGCACAGAAGGAUCUACACUAAUGGAAUAUGGAUGCACAUAGCCGAAAAAGGCCAAGGACCUCUUAUUCUCCUUAUUCAUGGCUUUCCUGAGCUAUGGUCUUGCUGGGUUCAUCAGAUUAAUCACUUGUCGGCACAUGGUUAUCAUGUGGUUGCACCUGAUAUGCGAGGCUAUGGAGACUCCGACUGUCCUCCGCAUCCUUCCUCCUAUACUCUUUUCCAUACAGUUGGAGACUUGAUUGGCCUUCUUGAUGAGCUUGGAAAAGAACAGGCAUUUGUGAUAGGACAUGACUGGGGUGCAGAAAUUGCAUGGCACCUUUGCCUUUUCAGGCCAGAUAGAGUAAAGGCUCUCGUUAACUUAGGCGUCCCUUAUCGGCCACGUUCCCCACAGUUCAAACCUUCUCACUACUUCACUAAAUAUGGACGAGGCUUCUACAUCUCCCAGUUCCAGGUAACAAUGCAAUUCCAAUUAUAUAAUCAGAAGGCCAUGAGUUGAAUGGAAACAGUCUCUCUGCAAAAGAGCCUGGAAAGGCUGGGAGCCUUGGGAUUGCCCUUUACAAUUCUCUGUACUUUGUUAGUAUUUCAUUGAUUUUUGCACUGCAGGAGCCUGGAGGAGCAGAAAAUUCUUUCUCCAAGUAUGACUCGGUGACAAUUCUGAAGAAGUUUCUGUUGAUCAAUGCUCCUGAUCUUCUAGCAGCACCUCCAGGGGUUGAGAUUAUAGAUUUUCUCGAGACCCCAUCUUUGUUGCCUCCAUGGAUUACUGAAG
rnacentral:misc_RNA from 1 species